GGAGGGGAGCCCGCGGCCUGGGUUUCCGCGCGCGCCGAGACCCGGGCGCAGAGCGAGUGCGUCCCCACCAGCCUGGCCGCCGCGGGAACUCGGGGACCGGGAGGGCGGGGGUUAGCGGGAGGAAAGGAGGCCGGUUUCCUGUCUGUAUGUGGAAUGGAAGGACCGUGCCGGGGCACCAAGAGGCACCCUGAGAACUCAGAGGACCCAGAGGCUCCCCUCAAGCAAAUUCCCUGCUGACCCUGGACACCCCUUGAAGGAGGGGGCAAGAGGCUGCCACAAGGCUCAUCUUAUAACUCCCAGCAAGGACUCCCAGCAAACAAGUUCAGCUUGGGAUCUGCCCACCACCAAGCCUGGCUGGGAGGUGGGGGGGAGCGAGGGGCGGUGGAGAGGCAGAGUCCCUGAACAGGGAAAAGACAAUCAGUUGUUCCCCUUUCUGGUGUCAGAGGCAAAGAAGCCUGAAGGGCUGGUGGUGGUGCUGGCUCUGGGUUUAUUGACUCUGUGAUCCUGUCCAGCUGUCCUACAGGGAGUUCCAGAGCUCUCCCAAAGUGCAUGAGGAACUGCACAAGUAGGACUGGGGCACAAUACCAGAAGCUAUUUGUCUCCUAGAACCUGGCACCCCCUCCACUUACCUUACAGGAGACCCACAUCACUCAGUUCCCAGGACACCUGGUGGGAGAGUCUGGUGAGAUUUGGAGGCAGACUUCCUCUACUCACAACUUGUUUGAAAAUGGACAUAAAGAGAAGAACAGACACUCCAUCGCCCCUUCAGGGCCUCCUUUGUGUCACAAAACCUAUCCCCUCCUAGGGCACCCUUGACAUUCCCCUAGGUGGGCCUACACAUUGUUCAGAACCUGUCCCCUGUACCAAAAUAAAUAUAAAUGAGUUUGUUUCUUUAAAAGAAA
rnacentral:lncRNA from 1 species